rnacentral:lncRNA from 1 species
UUGGGUUGUUCUAUAAGUUUUCUCUGCUUUAUAAAGUUGUAUGCUUUUUUUAUUAUUAUUAUUUAAUUCAGAUUGUUGGCGACAUAGCUCAUGUAUUAAAGUCUUCUGUCACAGUUGACUCAGCAAGAACGAAGACAUUGAUACAUUUUUGCAUUAUGGAAUACACAAUUUGGCAGUUCCUCGCCCACUGCCACCCAAAUACAGAUAAGUAUGCAUGCAUAAACAACCCUCAAAAUUAGUAAAACUAAAUUGAGUAAUAAAUUUGCGACCUUAAACUGUUUUAGGUUGGCAUCAGAUUACAAUCAGCAAACAUAAAGCCAUUUUUACAAAAGUUUUACUAUAAAAGAUAAAAACGAGGUCAAAAAAAAUUGCCAACCUCAGGCAUUUUUAUGUUUUUGCUUGGUUAGGGUUAGAGUUAGGUAAAAUAAUGUAUUGAAAUCAGUUAAUAAUUAAGUAAGGAAUGUGUUUUUAGAUACUUAAGUUAAACUCUUAAUAAAGUACUUGCUGCAAUUACUUUCAAAAGACUAAAACUGGACAUAUUGUUUUAGAAAAAGCUAUUUAAAAAAUCCUUAAUUGUACGUAACAGACGAUGGAGACGAAGUGAUUAUUAUGUGUGGCAAAAGAUUAUUUUAU